rnacentral:rRNA from 1 species
CCCUUAGAUGUUCUGGGCCGCACACGCGCUACACUGAAGGAGGCAGCGUGUACUCCUGGAUCGAAAGAUUUGGGUAACCCGCGAAUCUCCUUCGUGCUAGGGAUUGAGGUUUGCAAUUAUCCUUCAUGAACGAGGAAUUCCCAGUAAGUGCAAGUCAUAAGCUUGCGCUGACUACAUCCCUGCCCUUUGUACACACCGCCCGUCGCUACUACCGAUUGAAUGAUUUAGUGAGGACUUCGGACUGGGACCGAUGCGGCUUUCGGGCUGCGUCGGUAUUCUGGAAAGAUGUCCAAACUGUAUCAUUUAGAGGAAGUAAAAGUCGUANCA